rnacentral:rRNA from 1 species
CAUGCAGGCGGUUCAUCAAGCAGGAUGUGAAAUCCCCGGGCUCAACCUGGGAACAGCAUACUAAACUGGUGGACUAGAGUAUUGCAGGGGGAGACGGAAUUCCAGGUGUAGCGGUGGGAUGCGUAGAUAUCUGGAAGAACACCAAAGGCGAAGGCAGUCUCCUGGGCAAAUACUGACGCUCAUAUGCGAAAGCUGGUAGCAAACA